UCACUGCUAUCGGUGUUCGAUUAAGCCAUGCGAGUCGGAGGGGUCAAGCCCUCGGCGGAGUGCUCAGUAACACGUGGACAACCUACCCAAGAGUCAGGGAUAACCCCGGGAAACUGGGGAUAAUACCUGAUAGGCCAUGACAUCUGGAAUCGAGUUGUGGUUUAAACGUAAGGCUCUUGGAUGGGUCUGCGGCGGAUUAGGUUGUUGCCGGUGUAACGUACCAGCAAGCCUGUAAUCCGUACGGGUUGUGGGAGCAAGAGCCCGGAGAUGGAUUCUGAGACACGAAUCCAGGCCCUACGGGGCGCAGCAGGCGUGAAAACUCUACAAUGCAGGCAACUGCGAUAGGGGAACAUCUUUUGGCAUCCACCAUGGAUGUCUGUCCAAUCGUCUAAAAAACGAUUGUCAGCAAGGGCCGGGCAAGACCGGUGCCAGCCGCCGCGGUAAUACCGGCGGCUCGAGUGGUGGCCGAUAUUAUUGAGUCUAAAGGGUCCGUAGCCGGCUUUGCAAGUCCUAUGGGAAAUCCAGCGGCUUAACCGUUGGGCUUUCAUGGGAUACUACAUCGCUUGGGACUGGGAGAGGUAGGAGGUACUCAGGGGGUAGGGGUGAAAUCCUGUAAUCCUUUGGGGACCACCGGUGGCGAAGGCGUCCUACCAGAACANGUCCGACGGUGAGGGACGAAAGCUAGGGGCACGAACCGGAUUAGAUACCCGGGUAGUCCUAGCCGUAAACGAUGCUCGCUAGGUGUCACGGCAGUCGUGAAUUGUCGUGGUGCCGUAGGGAAGCCGUGAAGCGAGCCACUUGGGGAAGUACGACCGCAAGGUUGAAACUUAA
rnacentral:rRNA from 1 species